AUGCUGCAACCAGCAGGUCCUAGCGACGAAGAUGACGACCUCCUGGUGCUUCAAUCGAAAUUUUGCUGGAACCAGCUCUCUGUUUUGCUGGAAACGGCAUCGCUGGGUGCUGGGACGGGCUCUCUGUUUUGCUACAAUCAAUCACUAGGAGUUCUUCCUCAUGAGUCGUUUUGCUGGAACCGGUGUUCAAUUUUGCUGGAACCGGGUAAUUUUCUGCUACAAUCGAUCAAUGGAGUUCUUGCUGAUGAGUUGUUAUUUGCUGGAACCAGUGUUCAAUUUUGUUGGAACCAGGUAAAUAUUUGCUUCAACCGACAAAUGGAGGAUUUGUUGCUUUUGGAGUUUUGUGCUCGGCAUGACUGUCCAAGUUGA
rnacentral:rRNA from 1 species